CAGAACGACUAUAUAUUAUAAUUUUUGAAGUUUCUGCUUCACGCCAAAUCAAGUGCCAACACAAAGGGAGCUGAGUAUUGAAUGUUGAAUGCAGGAUAGCGGCGGACGGGUGAGUAACGCGUGGGCAACCUGCCUCAUACAGGGGGAUAACACAGGGAAACUUGUGCUAAUACCGCAUAAUAUCAUUGGGUGGCAUCACCUGAUGAUCAAAGGAGAAAUCCGGUAUGAGAUGGGCCCGCGUCCGAUUAGCUAGUUGGUGAGGUAACGGCUCACCAAGGCGACGAUCGGUAGCCGAACUGAGAGGUUGAUCGGCCACAUUGGGACUGAGACACGGCCCAGACUCCUACGGGAGGCAGCAGUGGGGAAUAUUGCGCAAUGGGGGAAACCCUGACGCAGCAACGCCGCGUGAAGGAAGAAGGCCUUCGGGUUGUAAACUUCUUUGAUUGGGGACGAAGGAAGUGACGGUACCCAAAAAACAAGCCACGGCUAACUACGUG
rnacentral:rRNA from 1 species